AUUGAACGCUGGCGGCAGGCCUAACACAUGCAAGUCGAACGGUAACAGGAAACAGCUUGCUGUUUCGCUGACGAGUGGCGGACGGGUGAGUAAUGUCUGGGAAACUGCCUGAUGGAGGGGGAUAACUACUGGAAAGGGUAGCUAAUACAGCAUAACGUCGCAAGACCAAAGAGGGGGACCUGCGGGCCUCUUGCAAUCGGAUAGACCAAGAUGGGAUUAGCUAGUAGGUGGGGUAACGGCUCACCUAGGCGACUAUCCCUAGCUGGUCUGAGAGGAUGACCAGCCACACUGGAACUGAGACACGGUCCAGACUCCUACGGGAGGCAGCAGUGGGGAAUAUUGCACAGUGGGCGCAAGCCUGUUGCAGCCAUGCCGCGUGUAUGAAGAAGGCCUUCGGGUUGUAAAGUACUUUCAGCGGGGAGGAAGGGAGUAAAGUUAAUACCUUUGCUCAUUGACGUUACCCGCAGAAGAAGCACCGGCUAACUCCGUGCCAGCCGCCGCCGUAA
rnacentral:rRNA from 1 species